AUAAUGUGAGCUUUUAGAUUUACGGAAAUACAGGUCAAAUAUAUGCUAUGUUUACAGGAACCUCGCGGUAAUUGCACCUGUUACAUAAAGGAAUGUGAACGGACUUACAAAGACGGAACGCCUUGUUUGGUUUUAACUGGCGGGUACAAUGACGAACUUGAUUUCAAGCGGGGAACUUGCGAAGCGGGACAAUGUAUAUACACCGAGGUUCAACGAGGCUGUCAAAGCGUCGAGAGAGAUCACGCACUUCAUCCCCACAUUCCAGUCGGUUGCGCGUUCACCUGCUUACAAGAAGGACGGAGAGAGUUUGAUUAUCAUCCCCUGGGCACACGUUGUA